GACGAACGCUGGCGGCGUGCCUAAUACAUGCAAGUCGAACGCAGGGGGGACGGGUGAGUAACCCGUGGGUAACCUCCCAUCAGAGGGGAUAACACUUGGAAACAGGUGCUAUAGCGAUAUUGAUGGAUGGACCCGCGGUGCAUUAGCUAGUUGGUGAGGUCACGGCUCACCAAGGCCACGAUGCGUCGCCGACCUGAGAGGGUGAUCGGCCACACUGGGACUGAGACACGGCCCAGACUCCUACGGGAGGCAGCAGUGGGGAAUCUUCGGCAAUGGACGAAAGUCUGAUCGAGCAACGCCGCGUGAGUGAAGAAGGUAUUCGGAUCGUAAAGCUCUGUUGUUAGAGAAGCGGUAUCUAAACAGAAAGCCACGGCUAACUACGUGCCAGCAGCCGCGGUAAUAC
rnacentral:rRNA from 1 species